rnacentral:rRNA from 1 species
AGCAGCAGCCACGGUAAUACGUAGGGUGCAAGCGUUAAUCGGAAUUACUGGGCGUAAAGCGUGCGCAGGCGGUUUUGUAAGACAGAGGUGAAAUCCCCGGGCUCAACCUGGGAACUGCCUUUGUGACUGCAAGGCUAGAGUACGGCAGAGGGGGAUGGAAUUCCGCGUGUAGCAGUGAAAUGCGUAGAUAUGCGGAGGAACACCGAUGGCGAAGGCAAUCCCCUGGGCCUGUACUGACGCUCAUGCACGAAAGCGUGGGGAGCAAACAGGAUUAGAUACCCCUGUAGUCCCUGUCUCUUAUAC